AAAAAAAUAAACAACAAUGCCAUGAAAUAUUCCGAGAAUUACACUAGCUAAUGAAUGGAUGAAAGGAUAGAUCAUACUUACGUUUGAUUCUUGAUUUUGACUUUGAUUUUUGUCAGUUUGGGUGGAUGCCAUAAUUGAGAGAAUAGGGUUUCAUUGAUUAGGGUUUUCUGAUAAGAAUAAGUAUAGGGUUUGGGUGGAAGAUAUAAUUAUUUUAAUUAAUUAAUU
rnacentral:sRNA from 1 species